rnacentral:lncRNA from 1 species
CUUGAGUCUAGAUGAUUGACUGCCCUUGGUCAGGAGGAUGGAGCAGUGCAGAGACUCUUUGGGUACCAGUGGAAAGAUCAUCUUGGAGAGAACACAUGGCCCGGGGCAACUUUAAUUUCUGCCAGCUAAGAGGACGAGCUGGGGAAGGUUGGCUUCCAGCUCGUCAGCAAACUUCCAUCCCCCUGGAUCUGACUUGGCUCGCUUUCAGUGCCUCUGUUCUUUGGACUCAUUGAGGGGUUGUUGUUUUCUUGUCUUUGAGGUGAGCUCUCACGCUACCCAGGCUGGCUUUAAACUUGCCUUCUAGCUGAGCCUGCCUCUUGCCUCCACCUCCCAUCUGAGGCUUGGCCAUCCCUCACACCUGGAUUUGUUUCCCCCACGUUUGGAAAGUUUCCCUUUCUAUACUUGCACAACGACCAAGUGGAGCUGGGGCUGUAGCUGUGCUGCCUGAGGCAAGACACCUCACUUCUCUCUCGGCUUCCACAGACCAUGGGGUGCUUCAGAUCUUACAGCUCUGACAGUCCCUGCUGUGGCCACCCUCCUCCUGGACCACCAAAAUUCCCACCCCAGAGAGACGCUUGGUAGGAAGGACAGGGUGCAGGCAGAGUCGAACGUUUAUGUUUAUUGUGGAUUGGCCACAGCGAGGGUCUGCUGGAGAGGUUAUUCCUCGUCGUGCAUCUUCUGCUGAGAAAGGAGUAAGAGAUGUGAGGUCAGUGGGUACGAUGGCCUGGGGAGGAAUUUCUAGGGAUUUCAGUGGCUCUAAUAAAAUGCCCUUGGGAAGGGAGGGGUUGAACCUCAGCAGUCUUGAAGUCUCAUGAUAUCAGUGCUUGUAGUUUAGAACACAGAUCUGGGGCCCACUUCAAGUGGGAGAGUGGACUCUCAGGUUACAGGUGUCUGUGGGACCCUUCGGUUGUAUGUAUGCCUAUUCUAUGUCUAAAUGCACAUGGGAUACACACGUAGCUGUUCAGAGCAUCAUGCUUGCAGGGGCAUCCUGAUGAGCGCGUGACUAGCAGUUCCAAGGGAGGAACUCACCUUGGCACCAAUGUCCCGGCUCUUGGCCCGCAGCUUGUUGACCUGGGACUCGGCGAUGUCCGCCCUCUCCUCCGCCUCAUCCAGCUCGUGCUGCACCUUGCGGAACUUGGACAGCCUUCCCAGGGAUGUCCUGUUUGGCACUCUCCUCAAACGUGCUCAGUGUUCAAGACCCGUCAUCGCUACCCACUGCCCGGAAUGAACCUGUGCUGCCCUGCGUGCUCUGAGAAUCCACAUCCACUGCAUCUAUUCCAGUUGUGCCUCAGACAGAUGCCUGCAGACUUGGGGGUUUUCUGCACAUCUGGGCUCAUCCACACCACACCCACAUGUUCCUGUCCACCCAAGUGUCUUCUUUUACCCUGGGUUCCUAUCCAGGCUCAACGCCAACUCUUGGCCCCUUGCUGUCCUGCAUCUCAAUGCUCUUCCUUAGUCUUAUGGUAUAUGGACUGUAAUUAACUAGUGGACAGAUGUAGGGCAGGAACAGCACUGAUCUUUGGACCUUAGGGUGCUAGAUACAAUUCUGAUCAUACUUGAAGAAUAAAUGUCUGAGCUGAUGGUUGGAGCAGACUCUGGUCUCAGCCCCACUGUGGCAAAUGCUCACUGGUUCUCACUAGCAGGUGUGCGGAUAAAAGACGGAGACGAAACUCUGAACUCACCGCCUCCUCAGCCUGGCGCUUGUAGGCCUUCACCUUCAACUGUAGCUUGUCCACCAGGUCCUGCAGCCGCAUUAAGUUCUUCUUGUCUUCCUCUGUCUGAAGCCUCCAGCUCAUUCUCCAGCUCCCGGACCCGGGCCUCCAGCUUCUGCAGCUGCUUCUUGCCGCCCUUGAGGGCGAUCUGCUCUGCCUCGUCCAGACGGUGCUGCAAGUCCUUGAUGGUCUGCUCCAUGUUCUUCUUCAUGCGCUCCAGGUGGGCGCUGGUGUCCUGCUCCUUCUUCAGCUCCUCAGCCAUCAUUGCGGCCUGUGUGUGGGAGAGGAGAGCAUGUGGUCUGCUCAGGUCCUCGUGGGCUCACUGCCCAGGCUAGGGAGAUGCUGCUCUGGAGUGGGUAGGCAGGGGAGGGGACUCACAUCUGUGAUGGCCUUCUUGGCCUUCUCCUCUGC